GAUUGUGUGGGAAGAUCGUCAGCAAAAUGGAUUUCUGGUAAAAAAAAAUGCACUUUCUGCAAAAUCAGACCUUUGGCUGAAAAGCAGUGGUCCUUCUUGGAGUUUUUCCAUUGUGAUACUUGAUUUGGGGCCAGUUUAACUGCUAACUGUGAGCACUGUGUGUGUCUGAUGGCUGCCGUAGUUCGAAGCUGUUGUGCCUGCACCCCUGCACUGGUUGCCCUGAGGCCAGCACUGCCAUCUGGAAGUGGUCAAAUCGAGCCCCUUCAUCUGAACAUAGAACAAAAGGAAACUCUUCUGUUCAAUGGCAGAGCAAAUGGGUUAAAGUGACAAUGUUUUCAAGGCAGGGCACAUCUUAGGACUUUGGGAAAGAUGGAUAAUCUGCUUUUCAUUCAGCUGUAGUCCGAAGUCAUUUGCAUCCAUCUCAGGCUGCUUAGCUUCCAGGGUCUAUUGAGAUGACAACCCUAUCUCAUACUGCUGUGGGCCACUGAGCAAAAUUCUCUGCUGAGUUUAAGUAAAUGCAUAAAUGAUCUUCCUGGUGAACAACCUCUUAAGCCCAGCUGGUUACCUGUGCAUUAAAGCAGCCUUCUGAAAUAUCAGCACGGGCGGACGAAAUGUCAGCCCCAGCCUGUGACAGCACGGUUGAUCCCUCAAAGAGCCAAGGAGAGCAAUUAGAGGGGAAAAGUUGGAGGGAGGUGAAGAGGAAAGAGAUUUUAGGGGAUGGAGAGAACUGAGAGCUCUAAUCAGGUAGAACAGUCGUAAUAAGGAAAGUGUGUUUCUGUGGGAGAGCGUAUUUACUUAGGUUUUCUCUCGAAAUAAUCAGCCUGAAUCACAGCUUUAUUAUGCGAUAGGUGUGGUGACGUUAGACUGGGAAAACAGAAUGCUGGUGUGGAAGCAGGACUCCCAUUUCCCUUCAGUAAAUAGUGCUGAGGAUCAAAGAGUGCUUUUCCAGAGCUGAUACAAUGGGGGGAGCCUGCCCUGCAUGGGGAGGUGAUGCUACUGGUGUCCCUCCAUGCCGACAAGCUGAACCGUGCCUCGUCCCUGCAUUGUCAUCCUCGCUCAGAUCUUUGCUGCUGUGUGAAAGAGGGUUUUACUGCUUUCUUUCAUUACUUUAUUUUUCCAGGAAGCUCACAUAACCCUUUGUGUCCCAGGCAGGAACAGCCACUUUUAUGGAGAAUGGAGUCCGGUGGUGGAUCCGUGAAAGGAUUUGCUUGUUAAAAUGACUUCCAGGGGGGCUUGCUAUGACUGUUGGUAUUGUUUAGGUUGUAUUUUUAAAAGCAUUCUUCCCUUUCUGUCCCUCUUUUCCCCUGUGAAGGGCCUCAUGCCAAAACCAUGGGUCUCUGGGCAGUGCCCAGCCCAGCAGCAGCUUCCAGGCAGACAGUGCUGCUGAGUUUUGACAGAUGGACAAGAAAACGUGCUGCACACACAGGACGUCAUGCUGACAGCCUGUUCUAAUCCCCUGGUAGGUACACAGAACCUCACCUUUCCAUCUGUAUUAAAAGAGUUAAGAUGUAUGUUAACUCUUUAGGUUGAGCCCAGGCAGCAAAUAGGGGAUGGAGCUCUGCUUCCCAUGAAGCAGAUGGAAGUCUGUCUGCACAUGGGAAUUGCCAUGGCUGUGCUAUAAGCAAACACCUCUGUUCACCUCACGUUAUCUUGUUCACCUUAAAGUUGGUUCUGCCUCUCCUGUUGGGUGCCUAGGGCUGAACCCUCUGGCUGUCUGCUUUUGGAAGGGGGACUGUGCCCAGAUAUAGCAGCAUCUGGCAAGACCCAGUGCCCUACAGGCCUAAUUUUAGCUCCCUGCUGCAGGCUGGCUUCCUGUCGUGGGCCAGGAGGAGGUUAAUGAUCAUCUGGGCAGCUCUCCAAAUCCAAUGUAAUGUUUAUUCAGGAUAACAGCAUUGCAGAGCAGACCAAGCAUGACCCUUUUCCACACACAUCUUACCUGGCAUGGCCCUGCUUCUGCACAUGGAGCAGCUCAGGUCUGUCAGCUCUUGGAGGAUGGACUCUCUUCUCCUUCCCUAGAUCAAAAUAGGUCCUGUACAACCCUGUCCAUGUGUUCACCUCCUAAACCAAACAGAUGCUAUAUUUCUAGACAAAAGCUCUGUAAUAGGUUGCAGAUCUAUGAUGGUAAUGGAAAUAGAUGCUCAAACAACCCCCUGCUAAAACUUUGCAGGAUGCUCCUCACCUGAUCCCUUUGGCCAGGAAUCACUGGAAACAGACUGCAAAUAACAUCCUGGAUACCAUUGCUCUAGAACAGUCCACCUCUCUGAGGCACCACCUUGUUUUGCACAUGCCAUGGACAAGAUUAUAUGUUAGAAUUAGCAUUUAGGGGAGACAGGAAUGGUUUAGAGGCCACAUAGGUAGUUUGGUCUGAUGUGGCUAAAAUCAAUUAACUUCAUAUAUAAUGCUGCCAAGGGCAAAAGGCAAACCCUACUGACCAAAGAGCAUUUCAUAAGUGCACUGCAUGUGUUCAUCUGGCAGUCCAAGCACAAAUUCCCCUGCCACAAUCACCUCACUUUGCAGGAAGGCAGGGCGUUCAGCUUCACUGCACCCCACAGUGCUUGGAGGAGCUGGAGCCAAGGGAUAUGUGUUUGGUGGGCCUGUAUGUUCCACAUGUGUGCACAGCUGGUUUUGGGAUCUGAGAGGUUGCAGAUUGACAUAUGAGGUGAGGAGGGAUGGCAGGUAGCAGUAGCCAUACCCUCUGACAGAGGGCAGAGCUCAUGGGAUGUGUUUAUUCACCUCAGCUGUUGUUUAUUCAUCUCAGCUGCUGUUGAAGAGCUUAAUUUCAGCCAUGAACUUACAGCAUUUUCUUCCCUACAGUGCAGCCCCUGCAGUUACUGUGCCAUCCUUUUGACACAACAUGAGCAGACAUGCAAUGGACUCAGUCCCAGGGAUCCCCCAUGCCAGCACACAGCGGGUCAUGUUUACUGCUGCUGGUGAUGUGGGGAUGGCUCCUUCCCACCUGCUGAAGACACUCUCCUGUCCCUUCGGAGCAGUCUGUUGUGGCUCAGCUGUCCUGAGCGGCCCUGUGAGCUUUGCUGCAAGCUCUGGAGUUUGUCAUGAAUGUUUGCUGCGCUGUGGAAGGCCGGGCUUGGCUGCACCCAGCUCCAGGACUCUUCUCCACCUUCCUGCGUGACGCUUGGCAUCGAGCAACGAUUCCUGCACUACUUCCACCAAUUUGAGAGUAACUGGAUGCUUUCGCCCCCUGGGUCUUGGUCUUGGUGUGUUUGUCCUGUCCGUUACAGCAAGGUAAGCAUCUCUUUCCCCCAUUGUGUGUAUUUAAACCAGGGUGCCCGCAAGCAAAAACUGUAUCUCUCAGCAGCAUUGUGUGUUUAGGGUGCAUAGACCCAGAUAACAGGGAUGGGGAGCAGGGAGCUGGCUGAGCAUUGUGAGCCAGUGUGAUGAUGGUCCUUCUGCCCCCAGUCACCUUGGGCUUGCCUCUGACAGCUCAUUACAGCUAGUCUUUGAUCACUUGCCUCUCCCCCUCUCUGUACUUGGAAAUGCUGGAGAGCUUUCGUGACUGAUAUUAUCAAAAAGGACGUUUUUAUUUCCAAAAUAUACAGUGUAAUUAGAACUGCAAAGGAAGAGAGCAGCCAGUCCAUAAAAACACCCGCUCUGCGACAGUCUCUGUCCUGACCCUGUGGGAACUGGCAACAAAAGACUGCUGGGUUUGGGGGAGAACAGUUUCCCAAUUAAUGGGAGCACCCCUCAGGUCCCAGCCAAAAAGAGCUCUUCCACUGCAUGGGAAGGCUUUGCUGUGGAAAUGCUCUCACUCACAGCCGAACAUGUUAUGCUGGAAGCAUGGAUUGAAUAACUUCAACCAGCAACACAGAGACCCUCACCUAACCCAUCAGCAUGGAAAUAUGCCUUCUGAUGAAGUGAUUGAAAGCCCCACUGCCACACACAGCAUUGCUAGCAUAUUUUCAGCUUUGUAGUGCCCUCUCCCACAGGCAGCUCCAUCCUAUAGGGUGCUGCUGGCCAUGGGCAGGGGCUGCCUCACAGAGACCCAGCUCCUGUCCUUCCAUUCUCUACAGCUGCCCCAGGAAACAGCUGACUUCUUAAAAAUUGAUGGGGUUCAUUUCCUGCCUCUGUGCACUUAAAGCAUCAGCUCUGCCACUACCAGCAACGUCCACAUUAAUUACUAUCAUACUGCAAGUACCUUUGUGUGCACUGCCUUGCCUGGAGAGUCUGUCCCAGCAGUGACCUGUGUUUUGCUCCCCUCAAGACCUUGCCCAUGGCUGAGGUUUCCAGAGCUGCUACAUGUGCAGCUACAAAGCUGGGAUUGCCCCAGAGGAGGAGAGGCAGCAGGAAGGGUCUGCACACAGAUCCUCUCUGAUCCAGGCUCAGAGGUUCACCUGGUGCCUGGGAUUUUCCUUCUCUCCUCCCUGUGUCCUAUUGAGCAGCAACACCCCAAGACUGUGUGGAGUCCCCACACUGAGUGCCCUCAGCUCUGAGCCCCAGGGUGCAACCUUCAGCAUUCCACCACCGAGUCCCUCCAAACAGAAAUUUUCAGUUUCCAAGGAAAAAAAAAAUCUGGUCAUGGAAAAACACCCAGCUCACUCAAACAGAGUUGGGGCCAGGCCAUGCUGCUAUUCAGUGCCCUGUGGACUGCAGAAAAUUAUAAAUUCUUUUCUUUUUUUUUUUGCAUAAAAUUACGAUUAUCCAGUGUUUAACACAAGCAUGUCUUAGACCGUGAAAUGAGUUGCAUGAGAGAGAUAAAGCAAAAGAAAGUAAGAGGAAGCAGGAGCCAGCAACUGCAAAGAUCAUUGGAAAAGCCUGUUCAGCAUGGACCAAAGGGCUCCAACCCAGGUAUCGUGUAGAGCCUCAUCAAGGCCUGACCAAGGGUGUCCUUUGAAUACAUGAACCUACCAAAAUGAGGAUCUGGAGGAGACUGACGAGCACUGGAGAACGCAUCCAGAAUACUUCAUCACUGCCUUUUCCUAUUCACCUAAGAAUCCCAAAAGGCCUGCAGGCAAUUGGUAACAGUUCCUCAGAAAAAGGUCUAGGAAUUAUAGCAGGUCAUGAGCUGAACGUGGGCUAUCAGUAUUGCAACAAGUGGCACGGUGCCCUGGGAGAUGUGUGCAGCAGCAUGACCUAUCCAGGCUCACCACAUCAUCUCUCUUGCUUGUUCAGUGCUGGUGAGGUCUACACUGGAGCAAAUUCUGGUAUCGGCAGCUCGUGUCAAAAGGGAGGCAGCAACACUGCAGUCAGCAUGCAGGGAACAGUGAGAAUGAUCAGAGGUCUACAAGACAUGACCUACAAAGAAAGAUUGAAAGAACUGGGUUAUUUAGCCUAAAAGAGAUGAUGGGAGAAGAGAUGUGAUAACAGUCUUCAAGUGCUUAAAAGGCUGCUGCCAAGGGGAAGAGAAUAAUCUGUUCUUUAUGUCCAUGGUGGACAGGACAAGAAAUAAUCGGCUUAAAUUACAGCAAGAGAAAUCAGGUUAGACACCGGGACAAAACCGGCGAGGCUGAAGCUGGGCAGAGAAUGACAGCAGUGCUCUUGGAGGCGGAGGGGUUCUGUUGGGUUGGGAUCGCUGUGGGGAGAGGCUGAUGUGCUUCCACAUCCCUGCAAUGCCUCUGACACGAGGUUUGGUGGUGCUGCAUUUCCCAGAGCAAGGUCAUGCUGCAGCCAUUGCUGCUGGGGGGAUGAAUCCCAGCCACUUUGUCUUGUGAGAACUUCCAAGACAGUAAAACGUGAUUUUGUGGCAAACUGAGAGCACAAGUCAACAUUUUCGGUUAUUUUUCUUGCAGUGAAAAAAUACUUGAAAAUGGAUUAUUUUUUUUUCUCCCAUCUAUUUUGGCCAUCCUAUUGCAACACAAACAGAGCAGAGUGCCCCAGCCAUGCCCCAUGGGCAAGCCAAAAUGACAUAGUCCAAACGAAACCUGUGUGAUAACAUCCUUGCUGAAAACAUCGGUGAACUCAAUCUCUUCCCUUCCAAACAAUUAGAUGGAGUUGAAAUACCAUUUUCUGAGUGAGGAGAUUGCCCUGAGAUGUUUUCCAACUGGCUCAGAGGGUUCUUGCUACCUGAGAGGCAAAAAGAAAAGGAAAGGCACGCGCAUGUCCAAGAGCAGCACUGCUUCUGCUGGCAGCGCGGUGCUGCUGAGUGCGCACCGCUGGCCGAAGAUUGAGAGAUGCUGUGUUCUCAGGAGAGAUGAUUAUUACCAAUGGAUUCCAAGAGCAAUCUUUUAUUUUAAAACCUGCCUCCUAAUUCAUUUUAUAUUUACCCAUAAAAUGUUGGCCAAGGUUUCUGAGAGCUGCGGUCUUUUGGAAAGGCCAAGUCUCCAGCCGAGCUGACUCAGCAGAAGCUCUCCUGAUCGAAGCAGUGCCUGUGUGAGUUCAUUCCACCCCUGGGCAGGGAUGGAAACAGAGGAGCUGGGCUCUCCCUGGCUUUGUUUUCUGCAAGGACCAAAGCUUGCUGCUGGCCUGCAGGGCUGGGAAGGGGACUGACAAAGUGCAUAAUUCUCCCUGCUUGUUUCCCUCCUGCUGUGCGUCCCAACUUUUGUUCACUUGCAGUUUAGUACAUCUGAGAUGAGAAUCAAAAGAAAGAAGAAAAAAGAAGAAAGAAAAAAAAAAAAAAAAGAUGAAAUCCCUGUAAGUAAUUAGUUUUCAGCCCUUCUGCCCAGCAUCAAGGAAGGAUGCAGAAAAUACCCAGCUUAUUAAAACAUCCCCCUGCUUCCACCCAGGAUGCUCUGGGACAGGCGUGCCUUGCCUAGGGACAGGUAUCCCAGCUCCUUCCCACGCCACAGUGGGAGCACACUGGGACUUGGACUAAUUCUAACAUAGCCCCUGGUGCCAAGCCAGUUUCUGCCUUCCUUUUCCCAUGUUGCUGAUUGCCCUAGUUGUUCCCCUGGCUCCUGGGCGCAAUGGUAAUGCCUCCCCUAUCCAUAUUUGUGAGGCAGUGGUGUCCUAAGCAGCUCAUCCUUGGGAGAUAAGGUCUCCUCUGCAGAGCCUGGUCUUCAUCCUACUGCUAUUGUGGGCCCUCCUCAUCCAAGGGCGCUGGGAAGAGAAGAAUUUGAUACUGCAGACUGCAGUGGACUCCUAUCCCAGGUGGACCAAACCUCCUUUGCUUCAAGGAAAAAUUCAUGUUAGGAUGAAGGGAAAAUCAGAAGGAAGCUGAAAGUUGCCCAUUUCAUACGUUGGAGAGGAGCUGCUUCUGAUAUCUCUUACGAGGCAUUUGAGUGGUGGCCAGGCUAUGAAAUAAAGCCAAGGCCAUUUGGAUUGACAGCUCAUUCCACACACAAGCAAAGCCCAGAAGACUAUCCAGAGCUUCACAAAAACAAUGGGCUAAUAGAUAAGUACAUAACGAAAACCUAGUGAGAACACCAGUAUCUCCUAAGUUCAGCUUCAUUCAGAAAGCCAAGAAUAUGGAACUGAGUCAGUUUGUGUCCGAUGGCCAUAAUGAACAUGCCACAGGAGAUGCCCGGAAGGAAUAAUACCAUAAAUUGGCAAGGUUGCAGCUGCAUUCAUCUGCGCAAACAAGAGCUGGUCAUCCAGAAUCCAGCAGUAUCAAAUAGUAGUACAUCAGUUCCAAUGUUAUUAUUUCUACCUUCAAGUAUGGGUGGGAACGCUCAGAAUCUGACGGCAGCCCCAGCAGGUGUGUCAGUACUGUGAGAGCCAAUGCUGGAAGGCCAUCCAGGGGUAUGAAGCAGAGUUAAUUUAUUCUAGCUGAUGCUGAGGAUCAUCAGGGGAUUCAAACCACCAUCACCACUACCACCACCUAGUCCUCUGGAGAAGGCUGUAUGUGUCUGGGACGUGCAUCAGUAAUGACCCAUACUAGCUGGAGUCUGCAGCCACAAACCUGUGUUUUGAGCAGCCUACACCUGGCUCAGGAGUGGCUUGCAUUGAUUUGGGAGCUCUGGUCUCCUUUCUCGAGGGGCUUAAGGAUGGGUGCAGGGUGAGGACCUUCUCCCCAGGUUGUUUGCAGGGGAAUCAGGGUGAUUGGAAGCCAGUGGGCCUCUGAGCAUUGCACAGCGUUAUUCAUGUAGCAGCUAAUGGAGCUUACUCAAUCCAUAAAGAUUUUUAGUCAGGAGUUUGAUGUUAAUUAUGGACCAAAACAUUUAAUAGCCCGUUACACUUCCACGAGGCAUUUUUUUAAUUAAAAAAUGAUAUAUUGCAGAAAAGGGGAAAAAAACAGAGGGGAAUAAUUGAAGAUUGUUUUAUUCUGGAA